CUUUUUUUCGCGCACACCCUGAUAUUUGGAGGCAAAUCAGUGGAGCCUCUAACCCUGGAUCAGUCCCAGAAUGGCCAUUUCAUCUGCGGCCAGUCCAGAUGACAAAGCUCCAGCUGACUCCCGGCCAGUUCAGCGGGGAGAGCCACAGCUGAGACCUGCAGGUGUCACAUUGUCCUGGUUGUCACUAACCCAAUUACACCUGGAUCGCCAGGGACACACUCGCUCCAGUGUGCAACAUGAGAGCACAGACACACGGCAUACAUGGGAAAGGCAUCCAUGUGCAGAGCGGGGGAACGAUGAGCAGGGAAUCCUUGUGCGGAGCUUGAGUCCAGGCUCGGGCUGAUCGCUGGCAGGACCAUCCCUCAUCCUGAUACCGCAUGGAGGUUGCAUUCACAAUAAAGCAUUUGAAAGCCCAUUAGCUCCAAUUUCCAGCAGCGUAAAGCCAACGGCAAUCCGAUAUCAUCAGUAACAGUCCACCAGAAGAUGACGGCCAGACGACAAGUGAGAUGUGGACGGACUAAAGGAGCUGAGAGAAGUUGGAGAUAUCGCUGAUCGGAACAAAUUGGAACAAAAUGGCGGGUGAUACGCAGCGGAGAGAUGCUUAGGGAGAUGACAUACAGGCCAGUGGCGAGAAUUUACAAAAGGAAGCAUAUUAUCCUGUGGUGUCUUAGAUAAUGAUCGUAGGGAAUUUAUGCUAUUUGAAUUGAAGUUAUACACCUGUUGAGAGCCGCUCAUAAUGAGAUGUAAAGAUGUUUAAGGUCAUGUAAAGAUUCUCUCAGUUAUCUCCCUUAACCAUUAUAGUUCACCAGACUUGACCUGUGUCUUCAGUCACGAUGUCUGCCUAAUGUAGUGUUCGCCAAGCCCUGAGGGAGGCGACAGUGGUUUCAAAGUGAGCCGGCUCCUGCUGUAAUCUGUGCUCCAUAUGUCAUUAAGCCCAUUAGGGAAACACUAGGUUAACAUUACAGCUAGAGUACCAGCCUUUGCUAUGGGAGCAGCCGCAGGUCGACAUAAAGACGGCGUCUCACUUUGUCUCUCUUUUUCGCAGACCGCUGUAUUAACAAGCCAUUGUCUUUUUCUCACCACUACGCUUUCUGAACUGCAUCCUCCAUUUCCUCGCCUUCGGUCAUUUCUCUUUCACGCAGCCCUUUUUAUGCUUCCCCCUGUUUCACCUUCACUGGGCGUACAAUGCGCCACUGGGGGCAGUAGAAGAAAAGUUGUCUGCUUUUUUGGAACGCAUUUAAGCAGCAAUGUCUGUCAGCGUGGAGUAAUGGUGGCCAAUGUAAAUGUCCUUCCUCAUGCUGUCUUAGAACAUCUGCUCGUUCUCUCGACUGUAUUAAAAUGUGUAUUAUUUUGUACGGAAACAUUAUAAAGAGAGAAAUUGAUUUGUGGCAGAACUUGUUUGGGACAAAAAAUGACCAAUCUCCCUCCAGGAAAGCAGGAACCCAAUACUGCAUGUUCACCUAGAGGUCAGGUGGAGGUCAG